CCUACGGGGUGCACCAGUAGGGAAUCUUCCGCAAUGGGCGAAAGCCUGACGGAGCAACGCCGCGUGAGUGAUGAAGGGUUUCGGCUCGUAAAACUCUGUUAUUAGGGAAGAACAAACGUGUAAGUAACUGUGUACGUCUUGACGGUACCUAAUCAGAAAGCCACGGCUAACUACGUGCCAGCAGCCGCGGUAAUACGUAGGUGGCAAGCGUUAUCCGGAAUUAUUGGGCGUAAAGCGCGCGUAGGCGGUUUCUUAAGUCUGAUGUGAAAGCCCACGGCUCAACCGUGGAGGGUCAUUGGAAACUGGGAAACUUGAGUGCAGAAGAGGAAAGUGGAAUUCCAUGUGUAGCGGUGAAAUGCGCAGAGAUAUGGAGGAACACCAGUGGCGAAGGCGACUUUCUGGUCUGUAACUGACGCUGAUGUGCGAAAGCGUGGGGAUCAAACAGGAUUAGAUACCCCCGUAGUC
rnacentral:rRNA from 1 species